GACGAACGCUGGCGGCGUGCCUAAUACAUGCAAGUAGAACGCAGUUGCGAACGGGUGAGGAACGCGUAGGUAACUUCCUUAAAGCGGGGGAUAACUAUUGGAAACGAUAGCUAAUACCGCAUACUGUGAGAUGGACCUACGGUGUAGUAGCUAGUUGGUGAGGUAAAGGCUCACCAAGGCGAAGAUACAUAGCCGAACUGCGAGGGUGAUCGGACAAACUGGGGAUGGUAAACGGGCCAAGCUCCUUCGGGAGGCAGGAGUAGGGAAACUUCGGCAAUGGACGGAAGUCUGACCCGGCAAAGCCGCGUGAAUGAAGAAGGGUUUCGGAACGUAAAGCUCUGUUGGUAGAGAAGCGGUAACUAACCAGAAAGGGACGGCUAACUACGUGCCAGCAGCCGCGGUAAUUC
rnacentral:rRNA from 1 species